rnacentral:rRNA from 1 species
UUAUGUAUUAUCCGUUUUCGAAUGGAAUUAUUUUAUGUGCCCGAUCAACAACGGAUUCAUUUGGGAUACCUUUGGGACCCGUCUUGAAACACGGACCAAGGAGUCUAUCUAGUAUGCAAGUAAAUGGGAUAUUAAAACCUAUUUGCGUAAAUAACUUAACUGUUUUAAUGGGAUUACGAGUUUCAUUUCAUUUAUUUGUAAUGUGCUCCUCCAUCCCGGGGUAUUUUCAUAACAUAUAUGGGCAACUAUAUAUAGAAAAUAUACCAUGAGCAUACUGGAUAUGACCCGAAAGAUGGUGAACUAUGCCUGAUCAGGUUGAAGUCAGGGGAAACCCUGAUGGAGGACCGAAGCAAUUCUGACGUGCAAAUCGAUUGUCAGA